GUGAGGAGUCGCCACUUUAAUUUUUACGGGAAAAUAAAGAAAACCUUUUAUUAUAUUUUCAAAACUUUUGUUUUAAAGAAAAUGAUCCACUUCUAUUCCAAAGAUUCAAGGUUCAGGGUCCUUAUACGUGUCGCUUAUAAGUGUGGGGAAGGUGUUAGGCAUCCCAUAUCGUCCCAAAAGGGUAGAUGAAUUUAAGGAUGUACUCAAAUGAAAUAAUGUCAAUAACUUGAAAUGGAGCUUAAUUUGUAAUAUUGGUUCUUUGCAUUUGAUCGAAAAUAUAAAUAUAGAAAAGCUUAAAUAUCUCACUAUUAGGGUAAGUCAAAUACACAAGUAAGUGAAGCGACCCUAAAAGUGAAUUUUGACUCCAUUUAAUCUUUGUUUUAUUUUUUUAUUUUUUGAAAACUUUUUAUUUUAAAGAGGCUUCUAAAUUUGACGAAUAAUCUAAUGAAAUUUUAUUUGAAAAUUAAAUUUGGUUUGAAA
rnacentral:misc_RNA from 1 species